CCGCGGUGAUGGCAGCGUUUUUCGUCAGCAGCAUCUCACCCCGUGAAUGGUGACAGCUGUGGGGCUGAGCGG
ensembl:snoRNA